UAGCCGUAAACGAUACUCGCUAGGUGUCGGCCACGGUGCGACCGUUGUCGGUGCCGUAGGGAAGUCGUGAAGCGAGCCACCUGGGAAGUACGGCCGCAAGGCUGAAACUUAAAGGAAUUGGCGGGGGAGGCACAACAACGGGUGGAGCUUGCGGUUUAAUUGGAUUCAACGCCGGAAAUCUUACCGGGACCGACAGCAACAUGAAGGCCAAGCUGAAGACUUUGCCGGAUUAGCUGAGAGGUGGUGCAUGGCGUCAGUGACU
rnacentral:rRNA from 1 species